rnacentral:rRNA from 1 species
GGGUUCCUACGGGGGGCAGCAGUAGGGAAUCUUCCACAAUGGGCGCAAGCCUGAUGGAGCAACACCGCGUGAGUGAAGAAGGGUUUCGGCUCGGAAAGCUCUGUUGUUGGAGAAGAACGUGCGUGAGAGUAACUGUUCACGCAGUGACGGUAUCCAACCAGAAAGUCACGGCUAACUACGUGCCAGCAGCCGCGGUAAUACGUAGGUGGCAAACGUUAUCCGGAUUUAUUGGGCGUAAA